GCCGGGUGUGUAAGCGCAGCGAUGCGUUGAGCUAACCGGUACUAAUGAACCGUGAGGCUUAACCUU
rnacentral:rRNA from 1 species